UGCAGUCGACGGUGAAGCCCUUCGGGGUGGAUCAGUGGCGAACGGGUGAGUAACACGUGAGCAACCUGCCCCUGGCUCUGGGACAACCACUGGAAACGGUGGCUAAUACCGGAUACGACUCACCUCGGCAUCGAGUGUGGGUGGAAAGUUUUUCGGCUGGGGAUGGGCUCGCGGCCUAUCAGCUUGUUGGUGGGGUAAUGGCCUACCAAGGCGACGACGGGUAGCCGGCCUGAGAGGGCGACCGGCCACACUGGGACUGAGACACGGCCCAGACUCCUACGGGAGGCAGCAGUGGGGAAUAUUGCACAAUGGGCGAAAGCCUGAUGCAGCGACGCCGCGUGAGGGAUGACGGCCUUCGGGUUGUAAACCUCUUUCAGCUCCGAAGAAGCGAAAGUGACGGUAGGAGCAGAAGAAGCACCGGCUAACUACGUGCCAGCAGCCGCGGUAAUACGUAGGGUGCAAGCGUUGUCCGGAAUUAUUGGGCGUAAAGAGCUCGUAGGCGGUGUGUCGCGUCUGCUGUGAAAACUCAGGGCUCAACUCUGAGCUUGCAGUGGGUACGGGCACACUAGAGUGCUGUAGGGGAGACUGGAAUUCCUGGUGUAGCGGUGAAAUGCGCAGAUAUCAGGAGGAACACCGGUGGCGAAGGCGGGUCUCUGGGCAGUUACUGACGCUGAGGAGCGAAAGCAUGGGGAGCGAACAGGAUUAGAUACCCUGGUAGUCCAUGCCGUAAACGUUGGGCGCUAGGUGU
rnacentral:rRNA from 1 species